rnacentral:sRNA from 1 species
AUCUGCAGCAGGUUCGGGUCGAACGUAGUGAGACAACGGAGCCGCUUGCGGCGACGGCCCGCAGGGCGAGGCGAAGCCGAGUCAUCCUGCACGACCCACCA